GUAGGGAAUAUUGGGCAAUGGAUGCAAGUCUGACCCAGCCAUCCCGCGUGCCGGAAGAAGGCCCUCAGGGUUGUAAACGGCUUUUGACGGUGAAGAAUCGACAGGAUGCGUCCUGUUUUGACGGUAGCCGUUGAAUAAGCACCGGCUAACUCCGUGCCAGCAGCCGCGGUAAUACGGAGGGUGCGAGCGUUGUCCGGAUUUAUUGGGUUUAAAGGGUGCGUAGGCUGGAAGGUCAGUCAGCGGUGAAAAGCUGUCGCUUAACGAUAGUCUUGCCGCAGAUACUUCCUUUCGUGGAUGAGGAGGAGGCCACUGGAACGGAUGGUGUAGCGGUGAAAUGCAUAGAUAUCAUCCAGAACACCGAUUGCGAAGGCAGGUGGCUGUACCUUAAUCGACGCUGAUGCACGAAAGCAUGGGGAGCGAACAGGAUUAGAUACCCUUGUAGUCC
rnacentral:rRNA from 1 species